rnacentral:rRNA from 1 species
CCUACGGGGGGCAGCAGUGGGGAAUAUUGCACAAUGGGCGCAAGCCUGAUGCAGCGAUGCCGCGUGAGCGAUGAAGGUCUUCGGAUCGUAAAGCUCUGUCCUUAGGGAAGAAUUUUGACGGUACCUAAGGAGGAAGCCCCGGCUAACUACGUGCCAGCAGCCGCGGUAAUACGUAGGGGGCGAGCGUUGUCCGGAAUCACUGGGCGUAAAGAGCGUGUAGGCGGGUUAUUAAGUCAGAAGUGAAAUCCUAUGGCUCAACCAUAGAACUGCUUUUGAAACUGGUAACCUAGAGUAUGGGAGAGGUAGAUGGAAUUUCUGGUGUAGGGUAAAAUCCGUAGAGAUCAGAAGGAAUACCGAUUGCGAAGGCGAUCUACUGGAACAUUACUGACGCUGAGACGCGAAAGCGUGGGGAGCAAACAGGAUUAGAUACCCGAGUAGUC